rnacentral:misc_RNA from 1 species
GAUGAAGAACGUAGCGAAAUGCGAUAAGUAAUGUGAAUUGCAGAAUUCAGUGAAUCAUCGAAUCUUUGAACGCACAUUGCGCCCCCUGGUAUUCCGGGGGGCAUGCCUGUUCGAGCGUCAUUUCACCACUCAAGCCUCGUUUGGUAUUGGGCAACGCGGUCCGCCGCGUGCCUCAAAUCGACCGGCUGGGUCUUCUGUCCCCUAAGCGUUGUGGAAACUAUUCGCUAAAGGGUGUUCGGGAGGCUACGCCGUAAAACAACCCCAUUUCUAAGGUUGACCUCGGAUCAGGUAGGGAUACCCGCUGAACUUAAGCAUAUCAAUAAGCGGAGGA